AUUUGGUUAGCUGACUAGCUCUAAAUCCUCAGCCAUGUCUUUCAGUGUGCUGCUUCUCCUAUUGGCAUCUCAUACCGGCUUCAGUUCUGAGGCAACGCCGCUGAUUCAACCAGAGGACUAUGUGUCGGUGGCUGUGGGGCAGACCACAAGUAUCUCUUGUACUCUGGAAGGUGUGGAGUUUAUCAGUGCCAACCACCCAUCUUGGUACCGACAGAGACCGGGGAAUCCUCCUCAGCCACUAAUAUACAACGCCAGGGAAAGACCCUCGGGGGUCCCUGACCGGUUCUCUGGAGAGACUUACGGGAACAGGGCAACACUAACCAUUGCCAGGACCCAGGCAGAUGAUGAGGGAGGCUAUUAUUGUGCUGUGUGGCAUAGCAGUGCGUCACACGCUGGUCCAGUCCAGUGCGGAAGUGAAACAAAAAUUCUGUGUGCAUCCGAGAGAGUCACACAAGCAAGUGGAAACAGGAAAUGCACCAGACUGGUGUUAAGGGCACAGGUGUAG